rnacentral:rRNA from 1 species
UACGUAGGGAGCAAGCGUUGUCCGGAAUCAUUGGGCGUAAAGCGCGCGUAGGCGGCCCGGUAAGUCCGUUGUGAAAGUCAAAGGCUCAACCUUUGAAUGCCGGUGGAUACUGUCGGACUAGAGUACGGAAGAGGCGAGUGGAAUUCCCGGUGUAGCGGUGAAAUGCGCAGAUAUCGGGAGGAACACCAAUUGCGAAGGCAGCUCGCUGGGACGUUACUGACGCUGAGACGCGAAAGCGUGGGGAGCAAACAGG